rnacentral:rRNA from 1 species
GACGAACGCUGGCGGCGUGCCUAAUACAUGCAAGUCGAGCGAAGUUUUUCUGGUGCUUGCACUAGAAAAACUUAGCGGCGAACGGGUGAGUAACACGUAAAGAACCUGCCUCAUAGACUGGGACAACUAUUGGAAACGAUAGCUAAUACCGGAUAACAGUAUUUCUCGCAUGAGAGAUAUUUAAAAGUUGGUUAUGCUAACACUAUGAGAUGGCUUUGCGGUGCAUUAGCUAGUUGGUGGGGUAAAGGCCCACCAAGGCGACGAUGCAUAGCCGACCUGAGAGGGUGAUCGGCCACACUGGGACUGAGACACGGCCCAGACUCCUACGGGAGGCAGCAGUAGGGAAUCUCCCGCAAAGGGCGAAAGCCUGACGGAGCAACGCCGCGUGAGUGAAGAAGGAUUUCGGUUCGUAAAGCUCUGUUGUUAGGGAAGAAUGGAUAUGUAGUAACUAUACAUGUAAGAGACGGUACCUAACCAGAAAGCCACGGCUAACUACGUG